CUAAAACGAUAUAAAUAUGUGGGGGGAGGGGUCAUAAUAGAUGGCCUGGUUCUCUCUAUCCCUGUGUGUCUGUUUGUCUGUCUCUUGUCUCUCUGUGUCUCUGUCUCUGUCUCUCUCUGUAUUUCUCUCUCUCUCUGUCUCUCUCUCUCAGGAAUAAGUGCCAGGUUCCCAUCAACACCAGGAUCCACACAAAUUCAAAUCCUUCAUAUAAAACAAAACAAAAAAAUGUCUAUAACCCCAUACAGCUGCCUGUAUGCAAAUUCUAAUUGGUCUUAAUAAUAAAAACCCUGAGUCAGAUAUAGGGGUAAAUGCUGAAAUAACAGAGAAGCAGAGCAACCAGCCACUAGUUCUUACCUCUACUGAAUCCUCAGACCAAAAGGGCGAUCCUGUCUCUAGAAACCCUCAGACUGAAUGCAUUAGCUCCUAUCUCCUCCUGCCUUAUAUUCCACUCUCUGCCCAACCAUAUCACUCCUGUCUCCAUCUCCCAAGUACUGGGAUUAAAGGUAUGAGCCACCAUCAUCUGGCUCUGUUUUUCUUUUAGACUGGAUCAAUUUUGUGUGGCCCAGGGCCUUGAGCUCACAGAGGUCCAUCUGCCUCUGUCUCUAGAGUGCUGGGAUUAAAGACUUUGGUUGGCUGAAUCCAAGGAUACAGAACUCGUAGAUAAAGAACCAUCUGGAAACUGAAGUGACCUCCUCCAUGUCGUCUUUUUUUCUGUUAUGCACUGGAAUGUGACCACCCUGUGAGGGUUAUGUUGGACCAGCAUCUACGGAAGGUGUUAAUGGUCAGUUGUGAUCUCUAUAUGCAUAUGCAGACAGUGAACGGUAAAGAGGUAGAAAUUCUCUCCUGUGCACAUUAAAAUAGAGCUGCCUACUUGGUGAGCGCUUGCAUAGCACAAAGUCCAAUCCCCUGCACUACAUAAGCUGAGUUGGCAGUGCAUGCCUUUCAUUCCAGCACUCAGGAGGUAGAGGCAGAAAGACUAGGAGUCCAUUCAAAGCCAACCAAGUGAGACUGUCUCAAAAACAAACAAAAACAGGACCAAAUGCUACAGAAUUGAAAGAAUCUGUCAUCUAGUCAUUUGCAUUAUACUGAAUGACCUGGCAAGCCAAUGACACAUGGCAUUAGCUGCCAUUUGUAGGGUGCUUUGCCUAUGGACAGGCACAGGUGUUUUAUUGACUCCAUUCUUCAAUGAUAUGAGGGCCCUGCUGGGACAGAGGUCUCAGGAGUAAGACAUCCUCAGGGCAGGCGGGGACCAGAGCACAGUCCUCCUGGAAGUUAGUUCCCUACCACUGCUGCUUCCUUGAGAUGGCAUUGGUUUGGUGACUUUACCCUAUCCCAUACCUCCACAUAAAGCCCUGGCCAGCGUGUUCCUGUUUCUGAGGCCCAGUGCUCAGCAGCCAGCAUCCCACCAGGCUGCGUUUGACCUCAAGCUAGUCUAGAGUUAGAUUGCCUGUCCAUUCUUUCACACAUCCUUGUGGACGCCACGGAUCCUGCACACCUCACUUUGUCUCUGGGUCCCAGAAGUAAGAUUUGAAGAAAAAAUCCAAAUACAAGAGUUAGAUAUACUUCUGCAUCAGGAAAAAGAAGUUUACAGCAGCCACCUUUUAAGGA
rnacentral:lncRNA from 1 species